AUACAUGCAAGUCGAACGGGUUUGCCUUUCGGGGCAGAUUAGUGGCGGACGGGUGAGUAACGCGUGGAUAAUCAACCUUAGGCUCGCGGAUACCGUUGGGAAACUAACGUUAAUACGCGAUAAGAUGUUUUAAUCGCAUGGUUGAAACAAGAAAGAUUAAUCGGCAUAAGACGAGUCCGCGUCUGAUUAGUUAGUUGGCGGGGUAACGGCUCACCAAGACGGCGAUCAGUAACCGGCCUGAGAGGGCGAACGGUCACAUUGGAACUGAGAUACGGUCCAAACUCCUACGGGAGGCAGCAGUAGGGAAUAUUGCACAAUGGGGGAAACCCUGAUGCAGCAACGCCGCGUGAAGGAUGAAGGUCUUCGGAUUGUAAACUUCUAUCGACCGGGACGAAGAAUGACGGUACCGGAGUAAGAAGCCCCGGCUAACUACGUGCCAGCAGCCGCGGUAAUACGUAGGGGGCAAGCGUUAUCCGGAAUUACUGGGUGUAAAGGGUGAGUAGGCGGUUUUAUAAGUCAUGUGUGAAAUUCCAAGGCUUAACCUUGGAAUUGCAUAAGAAACUGUAGGACUGGAGUGCGGGAGAGGUAAGCGGAAUUCCUAGUGUAGCGGUAAAAUGCGUAGAUAUUAGGAAGAACACCAGUGGCGAAGGCGGCUUACUGGACCGCAACUGACGCUGAGUCACGAAAGCGUGGGGAGCGAACAGGAUUAGAUACCCUGGUAGUCCACGCCGUAGACGAUGAUAGCUAGGUGUCGGGGCGAGAGUUUCGGUGCCGCAGUUAACACAAUAAGCUAUCCACCUGGGGAGUACGGUCGCAAGAUUGAAACUCAAAGGAAUUGACGGGGGCCCGC
rnacentral:rRNA from 1 species